rnacentral:rRNA from 1 species
AGACCCGAAACCCGGUGAUCUAGCCAUGGGCAGGUUGAAGGUUGGGUAACACUAACUGGAGGACCGAACCGACUAAUGUUGAAAAAUUAGCGGAUGACCUGUGGCUGGGGGUGAAAGGCCAAUCAAACCGGGAGAUAGCUGGUUCUCCCCGAAAGCUAUUUAGGUAGCGCCUCGUGAAUUCAUCUCCGGGGGUAGAGCACUGUUUCGGCUAGGGGGCCAUCCCGGCUUACCAACCCGAUGCAAACUGCGAAUACCGGAGAAUGUUAUCACGGGAGACACACGGCGGGUGCUAACGUCCGUCGUGAAGAGGGAAACAACCCAGACCGCCAGCUAAGGUCCCAAAGUCAUGGUUAAGUGGGAAACGAUGUGGGAAGGCCCAGACAGCCAGGAUGUUGGCUUAGAAGCAGCCAUCAUUUAAAGAAAGCGUAAUAGCUCACUGGUCGAGUCGGCCUGCGCGGAAGAUGUAACGGGGCUAAACCAUGCACCGAAGCUGCGGCAGCGAACGUAUCACCCAAGACAACUUUACGGAGUUGACGAUUGACGGAGCGAAGCGACGUCAAAGCGUUCAUUAAAGUCGAGUUGGCUUAGGGAUACGUUCGUUGGGUAGGGGAGCGUUCUGUAAGCCUGUGAAGGUGUGUCGUGAGGCAUGCUGGAGGUAUCAGAAGUGCGAAU